CUAGUAAUGGCAGGUCAGCAUACUGCCGUGAAUACGUUCCCGGGCCUUGUACACACCGCCCGUCACACCAUGAGAGUUGGGAAUACCCGAAGCCUGUGAGCUAACAUUUAUGAGGCAGCAGUCGAAGGUAGAAUCAAUGAUUGGGGUGAAGUCGUAACAAGGUAAC
rnacentral:rRNA from 1 species